GACGAACGCUGGCGGCGUGCUUAACACAUGCAAGUCGAACGGAAAGGCCCUGCUUUUGUGGGGUGCUCGAGUGGCGAACGGGUGAGUAACACGUGAGUAACCUGCCCUUGACUUUGGGAUAACUUCAGGAAACUGGAGCUAAUACCGGAUAGGAGCUCCUGCUGCAUGGUGGGGGUUGGAAAGUUUCGGCGGUUGGGGAUGGACUCGCGGCUUAUCAGCUUGUUGGUGGGGUAGUGGCUUACCAAGGCUUUGACGGGUAGCCGGCCUGAGGGGGUGACCGGCCACAUUGGGACUGAGAUACGGCCCAGACUCCUACGGGAGGCAGCAGUGGGGAAUAUUGCACAAUGGGCGGAAGCCUGAUGCAGCAACGCCGCGUGCGGGAUGACGGCCUUCGGGUUGUAAACCGCUUUCGCCUGUGACGAAGCGUGAGUGACGGUAAUGGGUAAAGAAGCACCGGCUAACUACGUG
rnacentral:rRNA from 1 species